AUUGAACGCUGGCGGCAGGCCUAACACAUGCAAGUCGAACGAGUGGCGGACGGGUGAGUAAUGUCUGGGAAACUGCCUGAUGGAGGGGGAUAAAUACUGGAAACGGUAGCUAAUACCGCAUACUAUCAGAUGUGCCCAGAUGGGAUUAGCUUGUUGGUGGGGUAACGGCUAACCAAGGCGAAGAUCCCUAGCUGGUCUGAGAGGAUGACCAGCCAGCCUGGUACGGAGGAACGGUCCAGACUCGUACGUGAGCCAGCAGUGGGGAAUAUUGCAAAAUGGACGCAAGCCUGAAGCAGCCAUGCCGGGUGGAUGACGAAGGCCUGCGGGUUGUAAAGUAAUUUCAGCGGGCAGUCGUUACCCGCAGAAGAAGCACCCACUAACUCCAUGCCAGCAGCCGCGGUAAUAC
rnacentral:rRNA from 1 species